rnacentral:rRNA from 1 species
UACGUAGGGUGCGAGCGUUGCCCGGAUUUAUUGGGGCGUAAAGAGCGCGCAGGCGGUCGUUCAAGUCGAGUGUGAAAGCCCCCGGCUCAACUGGGGAGGGUCAUUCGAUACUGAUCGACUCGAAGGCAGGAGAGGGAAGUGGAAUUCCCGGUGUAGUGGUGAAAUGCGUAGAUAUCGGGAGGAACACCAGUGGCGAAGGCGACUUCCUGGCCUGUUCUUGACGCUGAGGCGCGAAAGCUAGGGGAGCAAACGGG